UACGUAGGUGACAAGCGUUGUCCGGAUUUACUGGGCGUAAAGAGCGCGCAGGCGGUCGUUCAAGUCGAGUGUGAAAGCCCCCGGCUCAACUGGGGAGGGUCACUCGAUACUGAUCGACUCGAAGGCAGGAGAGGGAAGUGGAAUUCCCAGUGUAGAGGUGAAAUUCGUAGAUAUUAGGGAAGAACACCGGUGGCGAAGGCGGCUCUCUGGACCGAAUACUGACGCUGAGGCGCGAAAGCGUGGGGAGCAAACA
rnacentral:rRNA from 1 species